rnacentral:lncRNA from 1 species
GCCAUUGCUCCAGCCGUUCAGGUGCUUGUAACUGUCCAUGCGCUGGUUCACGCCCACGCCCAGACCGGCGCCCACCCCGACCCUGUUGAGCCAACUUUUAAGUUGCCACAUGACACAUCUUGUCCAUCAGACCUAUAUCACAUGAUCACACUGAGCUGAAAGAGAAACUUUAAAUGUCUUCAUUCUGUAUGUCCAGUUGUAUACCAAAAACUGGAAGAAGGGAAGGACAUCUUGGGGGACAACUGGCUCUCUUAUGACAAUCCACCGCUUUGAAUACCAAGUUUUCAUGCCUCAUUUUUUUUUCCCCAGUGUGGAAGAUACCCAUCCACAAGAGAGUGGGCUCAAAGUGACUGCAUUUACUUCUAAAUGUGCCAUACUCUCUAUAAGGUCUUAAAUUAGCUCCUUGUUAUACUUCAUAAAUGAAAAGAGUAUCUUCCCCUACGUACCCAGAGUGUAGUAACAAUUUCAAUUCAGAAAGGGAAAGAGGCCG